UGGACCACGUAAGAUGCAGUCAGUGAGUCA
rnacentral:piRNA from 1 species